GAUGAAUGCUGGCGGCGUGCCUAAUACAUGCAAGUCGAGCGAACAGAUGAGGAGCUUGCUCCUCUGACGUUAGCGGCGGACGGGUGAGUAACACGUGGAUAACCUACCUAUAAGACUGGGAUAACUUCGGGAAACCGGAGCUAAUACCGGAUAAUAUAUUGAACCGCAUGGUUCAAUAGUGAAAGACGGUUUUGCUGUCACUUAUAGAUGGAUCCGCGCCGCAUUAGCUAGUUGGUAAGGUAACGGCUUACCAAGGCAACGAUGCGUAGCCGACCUGAGAGGGUGAUCGGCCACACUGGAACUGAGACACGGUCCAGACUCCUACGGGAGGCAGCAGUAGGGAAUCUUCCGCAAUGGGCGAAAGCCUGACGGAGCAACGCCGCGUGAGUGAUGAAGGUCUUCGGAUCGUAAAACUCUGUUAUUAGGGAAGAACAAAUGUGUAAGUAACUAUGCACGUCUUGACGGUACCUAAUCAGAAGGCCACGGCUAACUACGUG
rnacentral:rRNA from 1 species